rnacentral:rRNA from 2 species
GAUUUCUGGUUAAAUGCGCCUGGCCCGCCUCAACAGAGUGUGUGUUGCCGGUGCGCGUUUGCCAUACUUCUAGAAAACGUGGCUACCUCUUAACUGAGGCCGGCUGCGCGAUCUAGAUCGUUUACUUUGAAAAAAUUAGAGUGUUUAAAGCAGGCUAUUGCUCUGAAUACAUUAGCAUGGAAUAAUAAUUUAGGACUUCGGUUCUAUUUUGUUGGUUUCUAGGAUUGAAGUAAUGAUUGAUAGGGAUAGUUGGGGGUGCUAGUAUUCAGCGGCCAGAGGUGAAAUUCUUGGAUUCGCUGAAGACUAACUUAUGCGAAAGCAUU